GCACAGAACAGGGUACUGGUAGCUGCUCUUCCACAGCUGUUCUUUGCCCAGACCUCUCAGAAGUCGUUAGCACGGGAGGUGAUGGUUAGCAUCCUUACAAAACAGGCUGAGAAAAGGUGGCACUUGGAGGUGUGGUGCAGCUGAAACAGAAACCAGCUUGCCUGGAGGGCAGCUCGAUACAUUCUCCAAGAGGUGACAACCUCUUCUAAGCUUUCCCUUUUCUUUGGCCAGAUAAAAAAGUCUGAUGUGAGGACAUUUCUUUCAAGUUUGAGGUUCUACCAAGGUCAAGUCCUACAUGUAAACUUCAUGGCUUCAGACCACUGUAAUCCACCGUGUCACUCGUCUUUGUCAUCGCCUUUGGAGUUCCUCUGCAGGACAGGGCUCAGUUUGUUCUGCAAAACAGCUGCCAGUUUUUUGGAAGUCUUCUUGAGGAAAGCACUCCCAGGGUGAACGUCGCUGACGUGCAGGUAGAGGUCCUCCUGCGUGGGGCCCGUGUAGCCGCAGUCCUCGCAGACGUAGAGCUUGUCCCGCCUCUGCUUGUAGGCGUAGUGCUGCUGCACGCCGUGGAUCUUCUUCAGGUGCGACUCCAGCGAGCAGCGCUGCGUGAAGGCUUUGUUGCAGACCUCGCACUUGUACGGGCGGAUUCCUGCCAGGGGAAAAGAUGCUCUGAUUCAGCUGUCUUAACCACCAGCCUAAGGAACUGUCCGGGAGUCACCCAAUCACGGAAUGUCAGGGGUGGGAAGGGACCUCUGGAGAUCAUCUUGUCCAGCCCCCUAGGCAAAGGAGGACCGCGUAGGGCAGGUCACACCGGAAGGCAUCCACCUGGGUUUUGACAGUCUCCAGAGAAGGAGACUGCACAACCUUUCUGGGCAGCCUGCUCCACUGCUGUCACCCUCACUGUAAAGAAGGUUCUCCUCACUUUGAGGUGGAACUUUCUGUGUUCCAGCUUAUACUUACUGUUCCUUGUAAUGUUACUGGGCACCACCAAAGAGAGACUGGCACCUUCAUCUUGUCACUCACCCCUCAGAUAUUUAUAGACAUUAAUAAAGUCCCCUCUUGGCAUUCCCAAAGCUAAA